rnacentral:rRNA from 1 species
AGUGAACGCUGGCGGUAGGCCUAACACAUGCAAGUCGAACGGCAGCACAGUAAGAGCUUGCUCUUACGGGUGGCGAGUGACGGACGGGUGAGGAAUACAUCGGAAUCUACUUUUUCGUGGGGGAUAACGUAGGGAAACUUACGCUAAUACCGCAUACUACCUACGGCUGAAAGCAGGGGAUCUUCGGACCAUGCGCGACUGAAUGAGCCGAUGUCGGAUUAGCUAGUUGGCGGGGUAAAGUCACACCAAGGCAAGGAUCCGUAGCUGGUCCGACAGGAUGAUCGGCACCCCUGGACCUGGGAACCGGUCCAGCCUCCUCCGGGAGGCAGCGGUGGGGAAUAUUGGCCAAUGGGCGCAAGCCUGAUCCAGCCAUCCCGCGUGGGUGAAGAAGGCCUUCGAGUUGUAAAGCCCUUUUGUUGGGAAAGAAAAGCGGCAGGUUAAUACCCCGCUGUUCUGCCGGUACCAAAAGAAUAAGCACCGGCUACCUUCGU